GUAAAUUAAAAUUAAACUUUUAAUAAAUUUUGUUAAAAUAUGGGGUUAAAACAUCGUGGAUCCCAUAAAAUGUGUAGUGAAAAUAAUUGUUGAUUUUAACUUGAAAUUUUAAUCUAUAACAAACAUGGACUUAACUAUAACACUCGCCAUUAAAACUGGUUUAUAAAAGAGAGGCACUCAAUAUAUUUAUAAGAUGAGCCUAUGACUAUGAGCAGGUUUCAAAUGCGGAUAUUGAACUCAAACGUGGUCGUUACAAACUUUUAAAACUUGCUAUGUGAUCCGAACGUACAACCGAGCAUCAGCAUCAAAGUUAGAGAACAAAAUGAAAUCAUGCCUUUCGAUAUCCAAUCCAUCUUGAGUUUCAAAGAGACAAAUCUUUCCACUGNNNN
rnacentral:lncRNA from 1 species